AGAGUCGGUUAAGCAAUCGCUCUUUACUAAGGUAAAGGGAGGAAAGUCCGGGCUCCACAGGGCAAGGUGCCAGGUAACGCCUGGGAGGUGUAAGCCUACGGAAAGUGCCACAGAAAAUAUACCGCUUGUUUGUAAAGCAAACAAGUAAGGGUGAAAUGGUGCGGUAAGAGCGCACCGCGCGACUGGCAACAGUUCGUGGCAGGGUAAACCCCACCUGGAGCAAGACCAAAUAGGGAUCCAUUUGACUUUAAGUCAUAACGUGCGGCCCGCACGGGAUCCGGGUAGGUUGCUUGAGGCAUACGGUGACGUAUGUCCCAGAUGAAUGAUUGCUCGCGACAGAACCCGGCUUAUCGACCGACUCGCCUU
rnacentral:RNase_P_RNA from 1 species